GAUUUCCUAAAAUUUCACAUUUACAUGCUUUUUUUUCUCCUUACAGAUAGGUUAAGUGAGCGGCUUAAACCAAGGUCAACAUGAAAGGGAAGUUCCCCCUUUGACCGCAGAGAACUUUGUUUUCUGUUGACCAAGUCAUAGUUAACGGCCACAUCACCAUCCUCUGCAACGCUCUGAAGCUGAUGUUUGCUUCAUACUACUGCUUGAACAUUUCAUACCCAGGAAACCAAGGAGAAACGCAAGAGAUUGUGCAAAGAUGCCUUUUUAAGAUGAAACCCGAGAAGGGAUCGAAAGUGGAGAAGACCACAUCCAGAAAGAAAUCGUCAGUCAGUCCAAAGGUUCUUUCACUGAUUAACAAGAUUGCGGACUAUGAAAGGAUGGAGUAAAACUUUGAGUGUCAGAUCUUCCUAUAUUGCCUAGCAGAAAUUCUUGACAGUGUCUCAGACUUAAAAUACUUGCUGAUUAUUUGCUUUCAUGGUUGAAUUUUUU